rnacentral:lncRNA from 1 species
GUGCCCUGAACCCUCAUUCCCGGACGCACAGGCAAGUAUCGUCCGCACUGACGACGAACUACGAGGUGGGUGCCACGAAGGAUACGUUCUCCCUCCGGGCACGGCGCCUGGAGGAGUGGCAGUCUGCAGGGACGGUGCCUGGGACCUCCCCGACGACUUCAGGUGUCAGCCAGACUGCGGAAGUGGGUGCCAGAAUGGAGGCACUUGCAUAGCCCCGAGCCAGUGCCAGUGGCGGCCCUGGCUUCAAGGGCGAGACCUGCGAGGUGAAGGAGUGCCCUGAACCCUCAUUCCCGGACGCACAGGCAAGUAUCGUCCGCACUGACGACGAACUACGAGUGGAGUGCCACGAAGGAUACGUUCUCCCUCCGGGCACGGCGCCUGGAGGAGUGGCAGUCUGCAGGGACGGUGCCUGGGACCUCCCCGACGACUUCAGGUGUCAGCCUAACUGCAGCAAUGAGGUGCCAGAAUGGAGGCACUUGCAUAGCCCCGAGCCAGUGCCAGUGUAGCCCCUGGCCCAAGGGCGAGACCUGCGAGGUGAAGGAGUGCCCUGAACCCUCAUUCCCGGACGCACAAGCUAAUUUUACCCGUGAUAACGACGAACUA